UACGAAGGGUGCAAGCGUUAAUCGGAGUUACUGGGCGUAAAGCGCGCGUAGGUGGUUCAGUAAGUUGGAAGUGAAAUCCCCGGGCUCAACCUGGGAACUGCUUUCAAAACUGCUGAGCUAGAGUACGGUAGAGGGUGGUGGAAUUUCCUGUGUAGCGGUGAAAUGCGUAGAUAUAGGAAGGAACACCAGUGGCGAAGGCGACCACCUGGACUGAUACUGACACUGAGGUGCGAAAGCGUGGGGAGCAAACAGG
rnacentral:rRNA from 1 species